UACAGAGGUCUCAAGCGUUGUUCGGAUUCAUUGGGCGUAAAGGGUGCGUAGGUGGCGCUGUAAGUCGGGUGUGAAAUUUCGGAGCUUAACUCCGAAACUGCAUUCGAUACUGCGGUGCUUGAGGACUGGAGAGGAGACUGGAAUUUACGGUGUAGCGGUGAAAUGCGUAGAUAUCGUAAGGAAGACCAGUGGCGAAGGCGGGUCUCUGGACAGUUCCUGACGCUGAGGCACGAAGGUCAGGGGAGCAAACGGG
rnacentral:rRNA from 1 species